UGGCGAACGGGUGAGUAAUACAUCGGAACGUGUCCGCUCGUGGGGGACAACCAGCCGAAAGGUUGGCUAAUACCGCAUGAGUUCUACGGAAGAAANAGGGGGACCCGCAAGGGCCUCUCGCGAGCGGAGCGGCCGAUGACUGAUUAGCCGGUUGGUGAGGUAACGGCUCACCAAAGCAACGAUCAGUAGCUGGUCUGAGAGGACGACCAGCCACACUGGGACUGAGACACGGCCCAGACUCCUACGGGAGGCAGCAG
rnacentral:rRNA from 1 species